GUGGUGCAUGGUUGUCGUCAGCUCGUGUCGUGAGAUGUUGGGUUAAGUCCCGCAACGAGCGCAACCCUUAAGCUUAGUUGCCAUCAUUAAGUUGGGCACUCUAAGUUGACUGCCGGUGACAAACCGGAGGAAGGUGGGGAUGACGUCAAAUCAUCAUGCCCCUUAUGAUUUGGGCUACACACGUGCUACAAUGGACAAUACAAAGGGCAGCGAAACCGCGAGGUCAAGCAAAUCCCAUAAAGUUGUUCUCAGUUCGGAUUGUAGUCUGCAACUCGACUACAUGAAGCUGGAAUCGCUAGUAAUCGUAGAUCAGCAUGCUACGGUGAAUACGUUCCCGGGUCUUGUACACACCGCCCGUCACACCACGAGAGUUUGUAACACCCGAAGCCGGUGGAGUAAC
rnacentral:rRNA from 1 species